CGAAAUCAGCGCGACGCCAGCCUCCUCCCACCUCCACCUCGCAUUCCGCGCCAGCCUAACCCGCCGCCGCCACUUGGUGCUGCCCCAGCAGGCGAGCCGCCACCUGAACCCACCGUCGCCGCCUAGGGCCAGUGGCAGCGCGCCAUGUGCCCCUGCCAGUGCCUCCCUCCUCCCACCUCACGCCGGCCCAGAUCGGGGCCCGCCCGAGCCCAUCUAGGCCCGGACGAGCCCGCGUCGCCACCCGCAACCGCAGGAGUCUAGCUCCUCGAGCUCCCUCGUCGCCGAUCCCGUGCGGCGCCUCCCGCCGUCUUUCGCGCCUCCGGCGGGUCACCGGAGCCGACCCUCGUCAGAGAUCGUGGCCACCGCCUCCGCCAGAGCCGCCAUGGAUGAGUCCCACCUCGCCGGAUCCCGCAUCCCCGAGCGCCGCCGACCACUUCCGUCACCGGAUCUGGAACCAUCGUCCUCGGAUCCGCCCAUCCUCGUCGUCCGGCAGGUUCCCGUCGACCCAGUCGCCGCCGUCAUGCCGAGUUCGCCGCCAGCCGCCAUUUUUGCUCUGCUUCCGUCGAACAGAGGUCGACGCACCCAGUUGCUCGCGUUGACCCGUACCUGGGCCGCCUCCUCCUCAUCGGGCCUGCUAGCCCAAGGACGCGCUAAGGCCUGCCCGCAUCCCCUCAGCCAGCCGGCUGCACCGACUGGGCCUUGGCCCAUGUUGCAGGUACCGAUGAUAUCAAUGCAGACGACGCAAUCAAGCUCAAGUGGGAGCUCGAUGAAGAUCGUGUUCAUUGUGUUGUUUCGUUUUCCAGUUGAUCAGUAGUGGAGCCCAGUCGGGGUGAUCGGGGAUCUAGCAUU